rnacentral:rRNA from 1 species
AUGUUGUUAGGAUGGAACAACGCCCUUACAAUACAACAAGAUGAGAAUGGAAGUACACCUCUCCACUUGGUUGCAUCUGUGCUAGGGCAAAGUGACCGACGGACUAUACGUAUACUUCUACUGAAAGCCAAUCCAGACGCAUUGUAUCAACCUGACAACAGUGGACUAUUCCCCAUACACGUGGCUGCAUCCGUGGAUGCAACACUUGCCAUCAGUGAUUUUCUUAAGAAGUCAUCAAGAUGUGCUGGUUUGCGCGAUGCUCGGGGAAGGACAUUUCUUCAUGUUGCAGUUGACAAAAUGAAAAUACGUACUGUCGGGUCUGCUUGCAGAAACCGAUCGUUAUCAUGGAUUUUUAAUAUGCAAGACAAAGAAGGAAACACUGCACUACACCUUGCUAUCCAGAAAGGGAGUCUGACGAUGUUUUGUGCUCUAUUCGGCAAUAGACAAGUAUCGUUAAAUUUAACAAAUGAGAAAGGUGAGACUGCACUAGAUAUAGCACGUUGCAAUGUUCCCGAAGGAGGACUGUAUUACAACCAGAACAGUGAAGUAAAAAUAGACCUCGCACUGAAAUUUGCUGGUGCUAAAUGCGGUAUUUCUCGCCGGGACUAUUUUGAAGAAAAUGAUAUUAUCCAAGAAAGACAGGAUGAUAAUAAAAACAAGGAGAUAGUGAAAGAGGGGACACAAACUCUAUGUAUUGGCUCUGUCCUAAUUGCAACCGUGACGUUUGGUGCAACUUUUGCCAUGCCUGGAGGUUAUAGAGCCGAUGAUCACAUUAAUGGAGGCACGCCAACACUUGCUGGAAGGUAUGCUUUUGAUGCAUUCACCCUGGCCAAUGCACUCGCCUUCACUUUUUCCACAAUGGCUACAAUUUCCCUCAUGGCUUCUGGAUCGUCCUUGUAUAAUCUUCGAAGCCGGAUCAUGCACCUAGGAACGGCCUUCUAUUUCAUUAAAAUUUCA